AAAUAUUGGGUCAAAACUGUAGGGGGGAAGUAUUUAGGACCAUUUGUUGUUGUUGUUGUUGUUGUUGUUAUUGUUGUAGUAUAUUCCAUGCAUCAACUCAUCCUUUUUUCCUUUUUCUUUUCUUUUGUUGCAUUCUAGAAGUAGUAAUGUUUAAAUACAUAAUGAAGUAUGUAUUGUUUUGUGUGCGUGGUUGCACAAAAUCAACAGUAAUGUCUAAUCUUAGAAUUCGAGGAUCUUGUAUAAAUAUGGUUUAUGGUAAAAUAGAAAUUUGGAUGCAUGAGCGAGGAAUUGCAGGAUUAUUAGUUAAUUAAUCAUGCAGAAUGUAAGCAAAGGCUUAAUAAAAUACCAGAAAAGUUAUCUUAAUUGUCC
rnacentral:lncRNA from 1 species